rnacentral:rRNA from 1 species
GCUGUAAAUCUAGCCAACCAUAACCCCCCCCACUAAACAAACCCCCCCCCAAAAAAAAACAUUGCCACCCUUUAGUAUAGGCGAUAGAAAAAGACAGUGGAGCCAUAGAUCCUAGUACCGCAAGGGAACGAUGAAAUAGAAAUGAAACAAAACAUAAAAGCACUAAACAGCAAAGACUAACCCUCGUACCUCUCGCAUCAUGGUCUAGCCAGUCACCACAAGCAAAACGAAUUGAAGUUUGACCCCCCGAAACUAGAUGAGCUACUCCGGGGCAGCCACCAGGGCCAACCCGUCUCUGUAGCAAAAGAGUGGGACGACCCCCGAGUAGAGGUGACAAACCUAACGAACCUAGUGAUAGCUGGUUGCCCAGGAAAAGAAUUUUAGUUCGACCUUAAAAACAUUUACAAUAUACAUAUACACAAUGCCCAUAAGAGCCAUUCAAAAGAGGUACAGCUCUUUUGAAUAAGGAAACAACCUAAAACCACGGGUAAUGAUUAUAUUAACCAAGGGACCUAGCCCAAGUGGGCCUAAUAGCAGCCACCUUAUAUAAACAGCGUCACAGCUUAAGCACCCAUAACCCCAAUAAUACGAAUAACCAAUCAAAACCCACCAACACUACUGGGCCUAUCUAUAAUCCAUAGAUCCGCUCAUGCUAGAAUGAGUAACAAGAAUUAAACCAUCUCCCAAUGUAAGUGCAACCCAGACCGAACCAAUCACUGGCAAUUAACGGCCUCAAUGAGAUAAAUGUAGCAACUCUACAAGAAAACCCUACAACCACCACCGUUAACCUAACACAAGAACAUAUUAGGAAAGAUUAAAAGACAAGGAAGGAACUCGGCAAAUAUGAACCUCGCCUGUUUACCAAAAACACCGCCUCUUGCAAACAAACAUGUAUAAGAGGUAUCGCCUGCCCAGUGACAAUUGUUCAACGGCCGCGGUAUUCUGACCGUGCAAAGGUAGCGUAAUCAUUUGUCUUUUAAAUAAAGACCAGUAUGAACGGCACCACGAGGGCUCAACUGUCUCCCCUGUCUAAUCAGUGAAAUUGAUUUCCCAGUGCAGAAGCUGGGAUAAUAACAUAAGACGAGAAGACCCCAUGGAGCUUAAGACACAAAAGCAUCUGCCUCCCAAUAGUCUUAUAGCAGCCAUGACUUUCUGUCUUCGGUUGGGGCGACCACGGAGAAAAAUAAUCCUCCGAGCCGAACGGGGCACACACCACCCCCUAACCAAGAGCCACAACUCCAAGUAAUAGGACCUCUAACGGAAUCUGAUCCAAACUGAUUGAUCAACGAACCAAGUUACCCUGGGGAUAACAGCGCAAUCCACUCCGAGAGUCCAUAUCGACGAGCGGGUUUACGACCUCGAUGUUGGAUCAGGACUCCCUAAUGGUGAAGCCGCUAUUAACGUGUUCGUUUGUUCAACGAUUAAAGUCCUACGUGAUCUGAGUUCAGACCGGAGCAAUCCAGGUCAGUUUCUAUCUAUGCUAAUAAUUUUCCUAGUACGAAAGGACCGGAAAAAUGGGGCCCAUGCAUAAACAAGCCCCCGCCUAUUACUAAUGAAAGCAACUCAAUUAGUAAUAGGCCUGCCAAACAACCGCCCUAAUUCAGGGCUA